UCAUUCGCCCACUAUACUGUUCGGUGAAGAAAUGAAUUAAGACAGCUAGAGACAUGGAUCGCUACGGACGACUUUUAACGCUGUAAAAAUUACAUAGCUUCGGUAAAUAUCAUCGCGAGCCUUCGUUAUCAUCUGCUCUUCUCCUUGCUACUUCAUGUAAAAAUAACAUUGUCCCUGUCCUUAAGAACCAUGCAGAGAGGACAUGGAGGAGUGAAGAUAAAGUCAUACAUGUACAAAUCCAUGCAGCACACGAAGACCUGUCUCUUACACAUCAAACACAUCCAUCAUAACUUGAAUAACAGCAGUCACCAAGCUCGCAGUGUGGACUGUUCAAAGGAGAGACCUACAAUAAUUCUACUGGCUGCCACCAUUCAGGAUACUACAGUCAGUUUUCAAGACGUGUCUCCUUGGUGUAUCACUGUUAAGUGCAUUUAAACAUGUUAAAUGUUAAGACUACUUUCGAUAGCUCCUUUAUGACCAAGAUAUUAAUUUAUUAACAAAGUUUUAUUCACAGACAUCAAUUAAGUACCUGCAGGAAAGUAUUCUGUAUUUUGCAGCCAUGUCUGUGUAGUGGAUUGUAUUUCUGUUAUACAAUAUUUGGUUCACAUACUUUCACUUUGUAACAUGAGAGGAGAGGCUUGGAAUACUUAGGUGCAGAUGAGAGGGUAACAUUAAAAUGGAUCUUAAAGAAAUGCAGUGACAAGAUGAAAUAUAUUCGUUUGGCUCAAGAUAGGGAUCAGUUGUAAACAUGGUAAUGGGUCUUCACAUUCCAUUAGUAAAACUGGAAAUUUCCUGCCUAGCUGAACUCCUUAAGGACUCUGCUUCAUAAAGUUAGUUAACUGUAUCCUUGCAUAGGUACAUAGUUUGACCUGGAAUAGCUCAGGCAGAUUAGUGAUGAGCUCUGGACUGAACAGCCAGGGCAAGACAUUUUUUCUCUACUACACAGGAUCCAGGUCAGCUCUGAGGACCACUGUGCCUCCUAUUCAGUGGAUACUGGGAGUUCUUUCCCUGAGGGUAAAGCAGCCAGGGCAUGAAGCUGACCACUCA